rnacentral:rRNA from 1 species
GACGAACGCUGGCGGCGUGCCUAAUACAUGCAAGUCGAACGGUCUUUUCUAUGGAAGCUUGCUUCCACUGAGAAGAUAGUGGCGAACGGGUGAGUAACACGUGGGUAACCUGCCCAUAAGAGGGGGAUAACAUCCGGAAACGGGUGCUAAUACCGCAUAGGUUUCUUGGUCGCAUGAUCGGGAAAGGAAAGACGGCCUUUGUGCUGUCGCUUAUGGAUGGACCCGCGGCGUAUUAGUUAGUUGGUGAGGUAACGGCUCACCAAGACGAUGAUACGUAGCCGACCUGAGAGGGUGAUCGGCCACAUUGGGACUGAGACACGGCCCAAACUCCUACGGGAGGCAGCAGUAGGGAAUCUUCCGCAAUGGACGAAAGUCUGACGGAGCAACGCCGCGUGAGUGAAGAAGGUUUUCGGAUCGUAAAACUCUGUUGUCAGAGAAGAACAAGUCGGAGAGUAACUGCUCCGGCCUUGACGGUAUCUGACCAGAAAGCCACGGCUAACUACGUGCCAGCAGCCGCCGUAAAAC